GACGAACGCUGGCGGCGUGCUUAACACAUGCAAGUCGAACGGGCCCGCUCCUUUUUUGGGGGCGGGUUGAGUGGCGAACGGGUGAGUAUCACGUGAGCAACCUGCCCUCCUCUCCUGGAUAACCGCUUGAAAGGGCGGCUAAUACGGGGUGCUCCGGUUGGUCCGCAUGGGCUGGUCGGGAAAGAUUCAUCGUUGUGGUGUUUCGGUGGGGGAUGGGCUCGCGGCCUAUCAGCUUGUUGGUGGGGUGAUGGCCCACCAAGGCGGUGACGGGUAGCCGGCCUGAGAGGGUGGGCGGCCACACUGGGACUGAGACACGGCCCAGACUCCUGCGGGAGGCAGCAGUGGGGGGUAUUGCACAAUGGGCGGAAGCCUGAUGCAGCGACGUCGCGUGAGGGAUGGAGGCCUUCGGGUUGUGAACCUCUUUCUCCGGUGGUGAAGGCCCCGCCCUUCGUGGUGGGGU
rnacentral:rRNA from 1 species